rnacentral:RNase_P_RNA from 1 species
GAAGCGGACUGGAUGACCGCGGGCUUCGGUCCGAGGAAAGUCCGGGCUCCACAGGGCAUGGCGCUGGCUAACGGCCAGGGGGAGUGAUCCCACGGAUAGUGCCACAGAAAAGAUACCGCCGGCUUGCCGGUAAGGGUGAAAUGGUGAGGUAAGAGCUCACCGGGCUUUCGGUGACGAAAGUCGCAGGGUAAACCCCGCCAGGAGCAAGGCCAAAUAGGGGGAGAGAGGUGGCCCGCCUCACUUGAUCCCCGGGUAGGCUGCUAGAGGUUGUCGGUAACGGCGAUCCCAGAGAAAUGGUCAUCACUUCCUUCGGGGAGUACAGAACCCGGCUUACAGGUCCGCCUCCCUU